GAGGGCGAGGGGACUUCAAAGUGAAGUAAAUGGGAAGAGACGGAAGACGAAAAGGAGCAGUUUCCGAUUUGAUUAUAAUCAAAUUAGACAGACAUAAUCGGACUAUUGAUGCUAGGCGGAGAUUAGUUAUUAAUCGAGAUGGAGAGGGUGGGCCUAGCGAUUUUGCGGGACGUAAUCGGUGGUUGGCAGAGAUUUUUUAAAACAGGGUAUGUGGCUAUGUGCAUAUAUAAAUCUUCUUAUUUUCCUGAUUUAUUAUCAUAUAGAUUUUUGUUUGACUCAUUCUUACAUUUUGUUGUUGUUCAUGCUCUCUCGAGUGUAUAUGUCGCAAUCACAUCUAAUUGAGAAAAAGUAUAUA